rnacentral:rRNA from 1 species
AAACAUGGCUCUUUGAGAUUUAUAUAUAAAGAGUCGGGCCUGCCCAGUGAUGUAUUUUUAACGGCCGCGGUACUCUGACCGUGCGAAGGUAGCAUAAUCAUUUGCCCUAUAAUUGAGGGCUAGUAUGAAUGGUUUGACAUGAGCAUAACUGUCUCCUUAAAAUUUUAUAAAAUUUGGUUUUUAGGUGAAGAAACCUAAAUUAAAUUGAAAGACAAGAAGACCCUAUCGAGCUUUAGAAUAAUUAGUUAAAAAAUAUAAAUAAAACAAUUAAUUUUAAUUAAAAACUUUGGUUGGGGCGACUGAGGAACAUGUAAAGCUUCCUUAAUUAAACAAUGCUGAUAAGCAAUGAUCCAGGAAAUCUGAUUAAAAAAAUUAGUUACCGUAGGGAUAACAGCAUAAUCUUUUUUGAGAGCUCUUAUCGAAAAAAAGGUUUGUGACCUCGAUGUUGGACUAGGAUAUCCUAAAGAUGUAGAAGUCUUUAAUGGUUGCUCUGUUCGAGCAUAAAAAUCCUACGUGAU